rnacentral:rRNA from 1 species
CAGUCGCCGCGGUAAUACAGAGGGUGCGAGCGUUAAUCGGAUUUACUGGGCGUAAAGCGUGCGUAGGCGGCUUCUUAAGUCGGAUGUGAAAUCCCUGAGCUUAACUUAGGAAUUGCAUUCGACACUGGGAAGCUAGAGUAUGGGAGAGGAUGGUAGAAUUCCAGGUGUAGCGGUGAAAUGCGUAGAGAUCUGGAGGAAUACCGAUGGCGAAGGCAGCCAUCUGGCCUAAUACUGACGCUGAGGUACGAAAGCAUGGGGAGCAAACAGGAUUAGAUACCCCUGUAGUCCCUGUCUCUUAUAC